AAUGAACGCUGGCGGCAGGCCUAAAACAUGCAAGUCGAACGCCCUAGCAAUAGGGAGUGGCGCACGGGUGAGUAACAUGUGGGAAUAUGCCUUUUGGUACGGAACAACGUUUGGAAACGAACGCUAAUACCGUAUGGUCCCUCCGGGGUAAAGAUUUGUCGCCAAAAGAUUAGCCCGCACUAGAUUAGCUAGUUGGUAAGGUAAUGGCUUACCAAGGCGACGAUCUAUAGCUGUUCUGAGAGGAAGAUCAGCCACACUGGGACUGAGACACGGCCCAGACUCCUACGGGAGGCAGCAGUUAGGAAUAUUGGACAAUGGGCGCAAGCCUGAUCCAGCCAUGCCGCGUGAGUGAUGAAGGCCUUCGGGUUGUAAAGCUCUUUAGCCGACGAAUAUAAUGACUGUAGUCGGAGAAUAAGCCCCGGCUAACUUCGUGCCAGCCGCCGCCGUAAAAC
rnacentral:rRNA from 1 species